rnacentral:rRNA from 1 species
AGCGAACGCUGGCGGCAGGCCUAACACAUGCGAGUCGAACGAACUCUUCGGAGUUAGUGGCGGACGGGUGAGUAACACGUGGGAACGUGCCUUUUGGUUCGGAAUAACUCAGGGAAACUUGUGCUAAUACCGAAUGUGCCCUUCGGGGAAAGGAUUUAUCGCCAUUAGAGCGGCCCGCGUCUGAUUAGCUAGUUGGUGAG